rnacentral:rRNA from 1 species
UACGUAGGGAGCAAGCGUUGUCCGGAAUCAUUGGGCGUAAAGCGCGUGUAGGCGGCUUGGUAAGUCUGCUCUGAAAGCCCGGGGCUCAACCCCGGGAGGCGGGUGGAUACUGCUGAGCUCGAGUCCGGAAGAGGCGAGUGGAAUUCCUGGUGUAGCGGUGAAAUGCGCAGAUAUCAGGAGGAACACCGGUGGCGAAGGCGGUUCUCUGGGCAUUACCUGACGCUGAGGAGCGAAAGUGUGGGGAGCGAACAGG